rnacentral:lncRNA from 1 species
GAUGCUGCAGCUAUGUGUCUAGUUCUUUGACCUGAGGUGCAUCGACAGUUUACCUUGAGUGUGUUAUAGAUUGACUACACCAUAACUCGAUCUCCUAGCCAUUCAGAAUUCUGAGGUAUAAGUUGGUUGUAGCAUAUUCAUUGUAGGAACCAAAUCGCACCAAGAUGGGAUCUAUCAACCUCGGUAGAUGAGAGUAGUCCUAUGAUGAUC